UCCAACGCGACCCCAGGUCAGGCGGGACUACCCGCUGAGUUUAAGAACAUCGUAACAAGGUUUCC
rnacentral:rRNA from 1 species